rnacentral:rRNA from 1 species
UAACUUAGUGGCGAACGGGUGAGUAACGCGUGAGUAACCUGCCCUGGAGUGGGGGACAACAGUUGGAAACGACUGCUAAUACCGCAUAAGCCCACGGCCCGGCAUCGGGCUGAGGGAAAAGGAUUUAUUCGCUUCAGGAUGGACUCGCGUCCAAUUAGCUAGUUGGUGAGGUAACGGCCCACCAAGGCGACGAUUGGUAGCCGGACUGAGAGGUUGAACGGCCACAUUGGGACUGAGACACGGUCCAGACUCCUACGGGAGGCAGCAGUGGGGGAUAUUGCACAAUGGGGGAAACCCUGAUGCAGCGACGCCGCGUGGAGGAAGAAGGUUUUCGGAUUGUAAACUCCUGUCGUUAGGGACGAUAAUGACGGUACCUAACAAGAAAGCACCGGCUAACUACGUGCCAGCAGCCGCGGUAAAACGUAGGGUGCAAGCGUUGUCCGGAAUUACUGGGUGUAAAGGGAGCGCAGGCGGACCGGCAAGUUGGAAGUGAGAACUAUGGGCUCAACCCAUAAAUUGCUUUCAAAACUGCUGGCCUUGAGUAGUGCAGAGGUAGGUGGAAUUCCCGGUGUAGCGGUGGAAUGCGUAGAUAUCGGGAGGAACACCAGUGGCGAA